GAGUUUGAUCCUGGCUCAGGACGAACGCUGGCGGCGUGCUUAAUGCAUGCAAGUCGAACGAAGAACCCCCUCUGGGUAACCAAAGGGGAAUUCUUAGUGGCGAACGGGUGAGUAACACGCGAGAAACCUGCCCCGGAGAUCGGGAUAGCCCAGGGAAACCUGGAUUAAUACCGAAUACCCUCGAUUGGUCGCAUGUCCGACCGAGGAAAUGGUCCGCCGCUCCGGGAUGGUCUCGCGUCCUAUCAGCUAGUUGGUGAGGUAACGGCUCACCAAGGCAACGACGGGUAGCUGGUCUGAGAGGACGAUCAGCCACACUGGGACUGAGACACGGCCCAGACUCCUACGGGAGGCAGCAGCAGGGAAUUUUGCACAAUGGGCGCAAGCCUGAUGCAGCGACGCCGCGUGGGGGAUGAAUGCCUUCGGGUUGUAAACCCCUUUCAGGAGGGACGAAGCGAAAGUGACGGUACCUCCAGAAGAAGCCCCGGCCAACUACGUGCCAGCAGCCGCGGUAAUACGUAGGGGGCGAGCGUUGUCCGGAUUUAUUGGGCGUAAAGAGCUCGUAGGCGGCUCAGCAAGUCGGCCGUGAAAGUCUGAGGCUCAACCUCAGGACGCCGGUCGAAACUGUUGUGGCUAGG
rnacentral:rRNA from 1 species